GAUGAAGAACGUAGCGAAAUGCGAUAAGUAAUGUGGAUUGCAGAAUUCAGUGAAUCAUCGAAUCUUUGAACGCACAUUGCGCCCCCUGGUAUUCCGGGGGGCAUGCCUGUCCGAGCGUCAUUACAACCCUCAAGCUCAGCUUGGUGUUGGGCCCCGCCGCCCCGGCGGGCCCUAAAGUCAGUGGUGGUGCCGUCCGGCUCCGAGCGUAGUAAUUCUUCUCGCUCUGGAGGUCCGGUCGUGUGCUCGCCAGCAACCCCCAAUUUUUUUCAGGUUGACCUCGGAUCAGGUAGGGAUACCCGCUGAACUUAAGCAUAUCAAUAAGCGGAGGA
rnacentral:misc_RNA from 1 species